UUUCUAAAUACCUGACAUUCUUAAUUAAUAUGAAAUCAGUCUGGGAAAUAUAUCAUGAUACCAGUUACGUUUGGGACACUGCUGAGAGUAAUGAGGAAUUUAGAAUUAUGACGAAAUACGCGUAUAGGGGUUACCGUUUUGGGAAAAUCUUUGCGUGUAAGAAGUAACCAAUAGAAUCUCAUGAGAUCAAUGGCCGUUCACAAAUUGAAGAGAUC